CAGCCGCCACGGUAAUACGAAGGGGGCUAGCGUUGUUCGGAAUUACUGGGCGUAAAGCGCACGUAGGCGGAUAUCUAAGUCAGGGGUGAAAUCCCAGAGCUCAACUCUGGAACUGCCUUUGAUACUGGGUAUCUUGAGUAUGGAAGAGGUGAGUGGAAUUCCGAGUGUAGAGGUGAAAUUCGUAGAUAUUCGGAGGAACACCAGUGGCGAAGGCGGCUCACUGGUCCAUUACUGACGCUGAGGUGCGAAAGCGUGGGGAGCAAACAGGAUUAGAUACCCCCGUAGUCCCUGUCUCUUAUAC
rnacentral:rRNA from 1 species